GUGCCAGCCGCCGCGGUAAUACGUAGGGUGCAAGCGUUAAUCGGAAUUACUGGGCGUAAAGCGUGCGCAGGCGGUUGUGUAAGACAGGUGUGAAAUCCCCGAGCUUAACUUGGGAAUUGCACUUGUGACUGCACGGCUAGAGUGCGGCAGAGGGGGAUGGAAUUCCGCGUGUAGCAGUGAAAUGCGUAGAUAUGCGGAGGAACACCGAUGGCGAAGGCAAUCCCCUGGGCCUGCACUGACGCUCAUGCACGAAAGCGUGGGGAGCAAACAGGAUUAGAUACCCUGGUAGUCCACGCCCUAAACGAUGUCAACUGGUUGUUGGGAAUUAACUUUCUCAGUAACGAAGCUAACGCGUGAAGUUGACCGCCUGGGGAGUACGGCCGCAAGGUUGAAACUCAAAUAAAUUGACGG
rnacentral:rRNA from 1 species